GCCGGCCUGGCGAGAGGCCGGAGCAGAAUUGUGGGAGGCUGGCGCCACUGCAGGCGGAGUGAAUCUCCGCCGCGCUCCACCCUGAGCUCGGAGGGCUAGGGCACAGGGAGAGCAAUUUGGUGCUUUCUGGGUCUUCCAAGAAGCGGCCAGAGGAAGAGACAGGGGAAGGAAUGGCUGAAAUGUGCGGGUAGUCACAGAAACGAAGAGGUUUCUCCUUUAAGCUGCAAGGCCAAGUGAGAAGAGAACUAAUGCUCCUAGAAACUAAGAAGGCACGCUGAAGCUUUCAAAGAUCCAAUCACUGGGGACAGUCUUCACAUCCUAGGCAGGCAUCUGGCUGCAAGUCCGACAGUAUGGUGUUCAGGUCGUCUCCCAAAUGAAUUCCGUAUCUACACAGCACCCUUUGUGUUAAGGCCAUGAUAUUUUGUUUUAUUCCUUCUCGAUAAAGCCAUGGAUGAUCGUAAAUGCUACCUCCAAACUCAUCACCAGGGCUGAUGCUUUGUCAGCAGAGGAGAUCUUUCCAGCUCCACCGGCUAGCACUUGGUCUUGAGCAGAUUUCUUCAGAUUCAACUCAGUUCAACAACAACAACAAAAAGCAACCAAAAACUGAGCUGGUUAGCUACAAAUGGAGAAAAUAAAGCCUCCACACAAAAAGGAAUGUUAAGACAAAUUCUAUUCAAGAAAUCCACCAAUACAGCAUUAAUCCUAUCACGUUUCACAGCAUUAAAUAUGCAUCCAAUGAAAUCUGUCUGCAGGAACUCCUAAAGGCUUCCACUGAUCAGGCAGAGCGGCUGUCUAAAAGUUUGCACUUGUCCACACCUGUUUUGCUGAACACAGGAUAAAUAUCCUGUUUGUAACUCAGCUGUCCAUUUACCCAGUCAAGUAAGUUUCAGUAAAUCUUGCUCUUAAAGGACUAUUAAGACCAGAAACUUUCCCUUUUGGAGCCUUUAGUUCAACUCCAGUUUGUCAAUGUUAGGAAUAGUCUAGCAUCUGAUACAGAGCUAGAUUUGACAAGACACUGAAGAUUUUAAGUAAAGGCGUGGUGAAAUGGAGAGGGAAAAAGGGAGAUUUGUAUCAAGGUUUAAAACUGAAGCCAAAGUGUCAACUUACUGCAUAAUACAGUAACAACCACAAGUGC
rnacentral:lncRNA from 1 species